UGCCAGCAGCCGCGGUAAUACGGAGGGGGCUAGCGUUGUUCGGAAUUACUGGGCGUAAAGGGUAAGUAGGUGGAUAUAUAAGUUAGGCGUGAAAGGCCCGGGCUCAACCUGGGGAGUGCGUUUAAAACUGUAUGUCUAGAGUAUAUGAGAGGAAAGCAGAAUUCCCAGUGUAGAGGUGAAAUUCGUAGAUAUUGGGAGGAAUACCGGUGGCGAAGGCGGCUUUCUGGCAUAAUACUGACGCUGAGGUACGAAAGCGUGGGGAGCAAACAGGAUUAGAUA
rnacentral:rRNA from 1 species